rnacentral:rRNA from 1 species
GGAUCAAUAUAUCGGUCAUGCUUAGGUAUGUACUGGUAUUAUUGAUUUCUCCCUUCUGAAGAACCAUGAUGUCAUUAAUUUGGUGUCGUGGGGAAUCAGGACUGUUACUUUGAAAAAAUAAGAGUGUUUAAAGCAGGCUAACGCCUGAAUACAUUAGCAUGGAAUAAUAAAAUAGGACGUUUGAUCUCCUAUUUGUUGGUUUCUAGGAUCGACGUA